UGGUUUCAAGUCUGGGCUAAUGGGC
rnacentral:piRNA from 1 species